rnacentral:ncRNA from 1 species
AAUAAUUUAACAUUUGGGCUAGGAUCAAGUUGGUAAUUUCUCUUACAUCUCCCCUGAACCCAAGUAUCAUAUAUGCUCCCAAAAUAAAGAUCCUCGAGUCCUAAAAGACCUACA